CCCUGCCAGCACCCCGACCCCGGGCAGUUAGGGGCACAGACACCCGAAGCAUUCCCGCUUAGUCCACUUCCGGGAGGGUGCGCUUGCAAAGGUAGUUUUCACCUGGACGCCCCUGGGUAAGAAGAGUGGGGGCCUGACGCCAGCUCCUCCCCCAGGCGCCCCUCUGGCGCCACCGGGAGCCAGCCCACUGCUCCGCAGUCCUCCCGUCGCCAUGGGAACGCUGCCCCGCUGCAGGACUAAAGAUGGGGUGCAGGCCGGGCAGAUGCUGGGGGUGCAGGAGUUUGCGUGGCGACGAGGAGGCUUUCCAGCAGCGGCGCCCAGGGGAGCGGAGCGCCCUAGAUGCCGCGUCUCGUGCCUGGAGCCGCGCGAGUCCGUCUCUCUGCUCCUUCGGCAUCGCUGAGGGCAUCCGCACCUUCUGCCUCCGGCUCUGCCCGACAAGGACCAGCUGUGCCCCGCUUCGGGGUCCUGUGGCAGCCGCACUGGGUGUCUGAACAGUCGGGCCAUUGUUGAAUAUGAGCCCUGCCCUCAUGGCCCCUCUGCCCUGGUGCUGGUGGCCAGGGACCGUUGGCAUAUAUGAAUUCUGGCUUUAUUGUACCUCUGCGGCUUCACAUUCUUCACGGAUUUCACGACGCUGCUGCUCUAACGUACAGAAACUUCCCCGUUUCCCACAGUAAUAAAUAACGUUGCUAUGGCAACACGUA